UUGGUUACCUGGUAGGGGUAAUACCAUGAUCAUGGAGGUGGAACACAAGGCUUACCCCUUGCACCCAGGCUGUGCUGAUCUUUGCAAAUUCCCCAAAUGCUGGAAUCUUGACUGCAUAAUUUCUGAUUAGUGGGGGAUUGCAUUUGCGCUCUUUCCCA